AAGAAUUAAAUUAACUUAGUGGCGGACGGGCGAGUAACACGUGAGCAACCUGCCUCUUACAGGGGAAUAACAACGGGAAACCGUUGCUAAUACCGCAUAACAUGUUAAAAGGGCAUCCUUUUAACAUCAAAGGAGUAAUCCGGUAAGAGAUGGGCUCGCGUCCGAUUAGCUAGUUGGUAGGGUAACGGCCUACCAAGGCGACGAUCGGUAGCCGGACUGAGAGGUCGAACGGCCGCAUUGGGACUGAGACACGGCCCAGACUCCUACGGGAGGCAGCAGUG
rnacentral:rRNA from 1 species